UGCCUAAACUCGUUAGUUUUAAAAUUAGCGGGCAUGGCAAAACAAGUCCAGUUAGACAUAAAGAUCCCAUCAUAUUGGGGUGUCUAACUGGCCGUAUCGGGAAACUGAUACGAGAGAAGCUUCGGCUUUUC
rnacentral:sRNA from 1 species